rnacentral:rRNA from 1 species
UACGGGGGGAGCAAGCGUUGUUCGGAUUUACUGGGCGUAAAGGGCGCGUAGGCGGUCAGCACAAGUCAGUUGUGAAAUCUCCGGGCUUAACUCGGAAAGGUCAACUGAUACUGUGCGACUAGAGUGCGGAAGGGGCAACUGGAAUUCUCGGUGUAGCGGUGAAAUGCGUAGAUAUCGAGAGGAACACCUGCGGCGAAGGCGGGUUGCUGGGCCGACACUGACGCUGAUGCGCGAAAGCCAGGG